ACUCACAAGCGAAACACCACAAAAAUCAGUUGAUGUGCCUACUUGAGUUGUUGUUGUUGUUGAUCCGGUUUCGAGUUUGAUUUGUACAAAACUUCAAAAUGUAAAAAAAAAUUAUAAACAAAUCCGAAUGGUUAUUACGCAAUUGGUGACGCGUCGCAUACAUUUGGAAAGCUGAACAGAGUUUUUUAUUUUGUUUUUUGGACAUACGAAUAUCCAACGUAUUCAAAACGGUAGAAAAAAAGAAAUUACUAAAUGGAGUUCGACUUGAUGAUACCCAUAGUAAUAAUUCAAGAAGCACAUGAAUGCAAAAUGUUUGAUUGCAAGUUAAUUAGUAUUAAAUCGCUAGUUAAGCAAAAA